rnacentral:rRNA from 1 species
GACGAACGCUGGCGGCGUGCUUAACACAUGCAAGUCGAACGGAAAGGCCCUGCUUUUGUGGGGUGCUCGAGUGGCGAACGGGUGAGUAACACGUGAGUAACCUGCCCUUGACUUUGGGAUAACUUCAGGAAACUGGGGCUAAUACCGGAUAGGAGCUCCUGCUGCAUGGUGGGGGUUGGAAAGUUUCGGCGGUUGGGGAUGGACUCGCGGCUUAUCAGCUUGUUGGUGGGGUAGGGGCUUACCAAGGCUUUGACGGGUAGCCGGCCUGAGAGGGUGACCGGCCACAAUGGGACUGAGGGACGGACCAGACUCCUACGGGAGGCAGCAGUGGGAAAUCUUGCACAAUGGGCGGGAGCCUGAUGCAGCAACGCCGCGGGCGGGAUGCCGGCUUGCUGGUUGUAAACAGCUUUCGCCUGUGACGAAGCGUGAGUGACGGUAAUGGGUAAAGAAGCACCGGCUAACUACGUG